rnacentral:rRNA from 1 species
CCAACCUGGUUGAUCCUGCCAGUAGUCAUAUGCUUGUCUCAAAGACUAAGCCAUGCAUGUCUAAGUAUCAUCCGAAACUGCGAAUGGCUCAUUAAAACAGUUAUAGUUUACUUGAUAUUGCAUCUUACAUGGAUAACCGUAGUAAUUCUAGAGCUAAUACAUGCGUUACGCCUGACUUCUGGAAGGGCAGUAUU